UGGUCCAGCAAUUCGUGUCACUAAGGGAUUUGAAGGGUUAACAUUGAGGCCCGGGUUUAGGCGAUAAGAGAACAAAGGGAUUUUUUAGAGAAAAACUGCUGACUCUGCACGGGACGUGCAGUAGCUUCUGACAUCCGGCCAAGAGACUACCAAAUAAGGAGGAAGACCAUGAGCCUUCAGCCCGAGCAACCCCUGAGAGACCAGCAGAGACUGAUACGCAGGUGCCCCUGGGAGGACUUCGGAUUCGGGAAACCAAUUAUAAUAACCCUGCCUCUUCUAGAAGUAGUAAUGAAUAUGUAUUAGCCUAGGAGCAUAAAAAUCAGCCGUCUUAUGUAACGGGUAUGCAUCCUGGUGGAACAGAGACUCCCGGCGCACCCAGCGCUGUUUGCUUGCCUCUAUUCGUUUAAUAAAUUGUAAACUUUGAUUGCAGUCCUAUUUGGGACUCAGUCAUUUAUAACAACUGGGGGCUCGUCUGGGAUGGUCUUGGUUCCUGAAUUCUGACUCGAUCUAGGAGGGGCGCCCCCACCAUUUGGUGGCUCCUGUUCGAAUCGGGUCGGGACUAACGCCAUCUUGAACCUGAAUAAGCGCAAGCAAAGAUUUAGAUUUUUUUAUGAGCUCCCUUUGCCGGCUGCAGCACUAUAUUUUGCCCGUAAUUCUGCGCGCGAAGAUCCGAACGAAGACGGCGGAGUCUUUUUCCAGGAGCUGGAUCACCCCGAAGGGCUGAAUGGUAACACAAGCUCUGAAAGCGGGCCCAACCCCAUGAUUGAAGGCGUCUCCCACACUCUCAAGAUUGGACGGCG